rfam:Triticum aestivum genome assembly, contig: Triticum_aestivum_CS42_TGACv1_scaffold_579143_7BL
AUUAUACUCCCUCCGUCCGGAAAUACUUGUCAUUGAAAUAGAUGUAUCUAGAUAUAUUUUAGUUCUAGAUACAUAUAUUUUCAUCCAUUUUGAUGACAAGUAUUUCCGGACGGAGGGAGUAAUAC